GUGAGGAAUAUUGGUCAAUGGGCGAGAGCCUGAACCAGCCAAGUCGCGUGAAGGAAGAAGGAUCUAUGGUUCGUAAACUUCUUUUGCAGAGGAAUAAAGUGCGGGACGUGUCCUGUUUUGUAUGUACCCUGAGAAUAAGGAUCGGCUAACUCCGUGCCAGCAGCCGCGGUAAUACGGAGGAUCCGAGCGUUAUCCGGAUUUAUUGGGUUUAAAGGGUGCGUAGGUGGUUUGAUAAGUCAGCGGUGAAAGUUUGCAGCUUAACUGUAAAAAUGCCGGUGAAACUGUCGGACUUGAGUGUAAAUGAGGUAGGCGGAAUGCGUGGUGUAGCGGUGAAAUGCAUAGAUAUCACGCAGAACUCCGAUUGCGAAGGCAGCUUACUAAGCUACAACUGACACUGAAGCACGAAAGCGUGGGGAUCAAACAGGAUUAGAUACCCUAGUAGUCC
rnacentral:rRNA from 1 species